rnacentral:rRNA from 1 species
GGGGAAUUUUCCGCAAUGGGCGAAAGCCUGACGGAGCAAUGCCGCGUGGAGGAAGACGGCCCGUGGGUUGUAAACUCCUUUUCUCAGAGAAGAAGUUCUGACGGUAUCUGAGGAAUAAGCAUCGGCUAACUCCGUGCCAGCAGCCGCGGUAAUACGGAGGAUGCAAGCGUUAUCCGGAAUCAUUGGGCGUAAAGCGUCUGUAGGUUGUUUUGUAAGUCCGCUGUAAAAGAGUACAGCUUAACUGUAGAUGGGCAGUGGAAACUACAAGACUGGAGUGUGGUAGGGGCAGAGGGAAUUCCCGGUGUAGCGGUGAAAUGCGUAGAUAUCGGGAAGAACACCAACGGCGAAAGCACUCUGCUGGGCCAACACUGACACUGAGAGACGAAAGCUAAGGGAGCGAAAAGGAUUAGAUACCCUUGUAGUCUUAGCCGUAAACGAUGGAUACUAAGUGGUGCGCGUAUUCAUGCCUGCACUGCUGUAGCUAACGCGUUAAGUAUCCCGCCUGGGGAGUAUGCUCGCAAGGGUGAAACUCAAAGGAAUUGACGGGGGCCCGCACAAGCGGUGGAGCAUGUGGUUUAAUUCGAUGCAACGCGAAGAACCUUACCAGGGCUUGACAUGCCACGAAUCUUUCAGAGAUGAGAGAGUGCCUUCGGGAAUGUGGACACAGGUGGUGCAUGGCUUCUCAGCUC